rnacentral:lncRNA from 1 species
GUCUAAAUCUCAUUCCAGUUUUACAUUAUUUCAUGACCUGACAGAAAAUAUUUGAGUUAUUUUGACCUCAUGUGUUUUUUUGUCCUCUGCAGUCUUGUACUCUGUCCUUCAGCCCCACUAUUAGCAGGCAGGAAGGUCCAUACGCUGUGCAGCUGGUGAUGGAAGACUUUCCCAGACAGACCAUCACACUGACUCAGACCAACGGGCUGCAGACGUUGAAAACUACCAGUGACGCCAUCAGCAAAAUACCUAUCCAGUUUGUUUUAAGGGUGGAGCCUGUGGUGCCGUCCUGCACAGAGGGACUCUAUCUGCCCAAGUUCCUGCCUCCAACCCCAGACAACAGAGCUCGGCUGUACACCAG